rnacentral:tRNA from 6 species
GGUGUCGUGGUGUAGUUGGUUAUCACGUGAGUCUUACACACUCAAGGUCUCCGGUUCGAGCCCGGGCGACAUCA